rnacentral:rRNA from 1 species
UACAGAGGGUGCGAGCGUUAAUCGGAAUUACUGGGCGUAAAGGGUGCGUAGGUGGUUUUGUAAGUUAGAUGUGAAAUUCCCGGGCUUAACCUGGGGACUGCGUCUAAUACUGUGAAGCUAGAGUAUUGUAGAGGAAAGUGGAAUUUCCGGUGUAGCGGUGAAAUGCGUAGAUAUCGGAAGGAACAUCAGUGGCGAAGGCGACUUUCUGGACAAAUACUGACACUGAGGCACGAAAGCAUGGGGAGCAAACAGG